rnacentral:rRNA from 1 species
CGCGGCCUAUCAGCUUGUUGGCGAGGUAACGGCUCACCAAGGCGACGAUGGGUAGCCGGCCUGAGAGGGCGAUCGGCCACACUGGAACUGAGACACGGUCCAGACUCCUACGGGAGGCAGCAGUGAGGAAUUUUGCGCAAUGGGGGAAACCCUGACGCAGCGACGCCGCGUGGAGGACGAAGGCCUUCGGGUCGUAAACUCCUGUCAAGUGGGACGGAUCCGGAAAGAUGAAUAAGCUUUUCGGUUGACGGUACCAUUGGAGGAAGCCCCGGCUAACUCCGUGCCAGCAGCCGCGGUAAUACGGAGGGGGCUAGCGUUGUUCGGAAUUAUUGGGCGUAAAGGGCGCGUAGGCGGCCUGGUAAGUCGGACGUGAAAUCCCGCGGCUCAACCGCGGAACUGCGUUCGGAACUGUCAGGCUUGAGUCCCGGAGAGGGUAGCGGAAUUCCCAGUGUAGCGGUGAAAUGCGUAGAUAUUGGGAGGAACACCAGUGGCGAAGGCGGUUACCUGGACGGGUACUGACGCUGAGGCGCGUAAGCGUGGGGAGCAAACAGGAUUAGAUACCCUGGUAGUCCACGCUGUAAACGAUGGGCACUUGGUGUUGCGGGUAUCGACCCCUGCAGUGCCGGAGCUAACGCAUUAAGUGCCCCGCCUGGGGAGUACGG